rnacentral:rRNA from 1 species
GACGAACGCUGGCGGCGUGCUUAACACAUGCAAGUCGAACGGAAAGGCCCUGCUCUUGUGGGGUGCUCGAGUGGCGAACGGGUGAGUAACACGUGAGUAACCUGCCCUUGACUUUGGGAUAACUUCAGGAAACUGGGGCUAAUACCGGAUAGGAGCUCCUGCUGCAUGGUGGGGGUUGGAAAGUUUCGGCGGUUGGGGAUGGACUCGCGGCUUAUCAGCUUGUUGGUGGGGUAGUGGCUUACCAAGGCUUUGACGGGUAGCCGGCCUGAGAGGGUGACCGGCGACAUUGGGACUGAGAGACGGACCAGACGCCUACGGGAGGCAGCAGUGGGGAAUAUUGCACAAUGGGCGGAAGCCUGAUGCAGAAACGCCGCGUGCGGGAUGACGGCCUUCGGGUUGUAAACCGCUUUCGCCUGUGACGAAGCGUGAGUGACGGUAAUGGGUAAAGAAGCACCGGCUAACUACGUG